rnacentral:piRNA from 1 species
UAGAUUUUAUGUCUAUGUUUGGG